UACGUAGGUGGCAAGCGUUGUUCGGAAUUACUGGGCGUAAAGCGUGCGCAGGCGGUUUUGUAAGCCUGAUGUGAAAUCCCCGGGCUCAACCUGGGAAUGGCAUUUGGGACUGCAAGGCUGGAGUUUGGCAGAGGAGACUGGAAUUCCCGGUGUAGCAGUGAAAUGCGUAGAUAUCGGGGGGAAUACCGAUGGCGAAGGCAGGUCUCUGGGCUAUAACUGACGCUCAUGCACGAAAGCGUGGGGAGCAAACAGG
rnacentral:rRNA from 1 species